rnacentral:rRNA from 1 species
GGUCUUUUCUAUGGAAGCUUGCUUCCGCUGAGAAGAUAGUGGCGAACGGGUGAGUAACACGUGGGUAACCUGCCCAUAAGAGGGGGAUAACAUCCGGAAACGGGUGCUAAUACCGCAUAGUUUUCUUGAUCGCAUGAUUGAGAAAGGAAAGACGGCCUUUGUGCUGUCGCUUAUGGAUGGACCCGCGGCGUAUUAGUUAGUUGGUGAGGUAACGGCUCACCAAGACGAUGAUACGUAGCCGACCUGAGAGGGUGAUCGGCCACAUUGGGACUGAGACACGGCCCAAACUCCUACGGGAGGCAGCAGUAGGGAAUCUUCCGCAAUGGACGAAAGUCUGACGGAGCAACGCCGCGUGAGUGAAGAAGGUUUUCGGAUCGUAAAACUCUGUUGUCAGAGAAGAACAAGUCGGAGAGUAACUGCUCCGGCCUUGACGGUAUCUGACCAGAAAGCCACGGCUAACUACGUGCCAGCAGCCGCGGUAAUACGUAGGUGGCAAGCGUUGUCCGGAUUUAUUGGGCGUAAAGCGAGCGCAGGCGGUUCCUUAAGUCUGAUGUGAAAGCCCACGGCUCAACCGUGGAAGGUCAUUGGAAACUGGGGAACUUGAGUGCAGAAGAGGAGAGUGGAAUUCCAUGUGUAGCGGUGAAAUGCGUAGAUAUAU